AGAGUUUGGUUGUAGCUGGUCCCUAAUUAACUUGGGGGCAUGUGCACACCUUUCUCUUUCAUCCCAUACACACCUGUGCACCUGUGAGACAGAUGUUUUCUAGGGGGGAAAGGAACUUUAUUGGACCUACUCCCUUGGACUUCUGUCUACUUAAUCUAUAUAAACUCAAUUUAUUUUAAAAUGAAUGUAAUGGAUGUAACACAUCUAAUACUAAGUUUCAACAACGGAUCUCUUGGCUCUCGCAUCGAUGAAGAACGCAGCGAAAUGCGAUAAGUAAUGUGAAUUGCAGAAUUCAGUGAAUCAUCGAAUCUUUGAACGCACCUUGCGCUCCUUGGUAUUCCUUGGAGCAUGCCUGUUUGAGUAUCAUGAAAUCUUCAAAGUCAAACCUUUUGUUAACUCAAUUGGUUCUGCUUUGGUAUUGGAGGUCUAUUGCAGCUUCACACCUGCUCCUCUUUGUGCAUUAGCUGGAUCUCAGUGUUAUGCUUGGUUCCACUCAGCGUGAUAAGUUAUCUAUCGCUGAGGACACCCUGUUAAAAAGGGGUGGCCAAGGUAAAUGCAGAUGAACUGCUUCUAACAGUCCAUUGACCUUGGACAAAUAUUAAUUUUAUGAUCUGAUCUCAAAUC
rnacentral:misc_RNA from 1 species